rfam:Candidatus Altiarchaeales archaeon IMC4 isolate IMC4_SM1 MSIBFv1_B, whole genome shotgun sequence.
GUUUUCGUGAGGAAAGGUCUGAAGGAAGCCGGAGUGUAAAGCUAUGAAUCGACGAACAGAAAUGGCAUAUAAGGCCGAGCCUCCGGGUAAGAAGUACCUGAAACAAUCCAAUUAUGGUGAAUUGCAGCACCCUUUUGAUACAACGACCUUCUGGCUGGAUGGUUCCCUU